rnacentral:rRNA from 1 species
GAUGAACGCUAGCGACAGGCCUAACACAUGCAAGUCGAGGGGCAGCAUGAAAUUAGCUUGCUAAUUUUGAUGGCGACCGGCGCACGGGUGAGUAACACGUAUGCAACCUGCCUGUAAGCGGGGGAUAACCCGGAGAAAUUCGGACUAAUACCGCAUAAUAUCAUUGAUUCGCAUGUUUCAAUGAUUAAAAAUUUAUUGCUUACAGAUGGGCAUGCGUAUGAUUAGCUAGUUGGCGGGGUAACGGCCCACCAAGGCGACGAUCAUUAGGGGUUCUGAGAGGAAGGUCCCCCACAUUGGAACUGAGACACGGUACAAACUCCUAGGGGAGGCAGCAGUGAGGAAUAUUGGUCAAUGGACGCAAGUCUGAACCAGCCAUGUCGCGUGAAGGAUGACUGUCCUAUGGAUUGUAAACUUCUUUUAUAUGGGGAUAAAGUGUGUGACUUGUCUCAUUUUGCAUGUACCAUAUGAAUAAGCAUCGGCUAACUCCGUGCCAGCAGCCGCCGUAAAAC